CUUCCAGUAGCACCUUAGAGACCAACUAAGUUUGAUAUUGGUAUGAGCUUUCAUGUGCAUGCACACUUCUUCAGAUGCACACAAAAGCUCAUACCAAUAACAAACUUAGUUGGUCUCUAAGGUGCUACUGGAAG